rnacentral:tRNA from 1 species
GCGCUCGUAGCUCAGCUGGAUAGAGUACCUGGCUUCGAACCAGGUGGUCGGGAGUUCGAGUCUCUCCGAGCGCGCCA